AUGGCGCCUUUGUUCAGGCCCCCCAAUACCAAUAUUUUUUGGGUAAGGGAUCUUAUUGAUACCGGAAACUGGACAUGGCGGCGGCAGUUGGUUCGUGACACAUCCAUCUCACCAGACGCGGAGGCCAUCCUCAAUACCCCACUCCGGUCUGGUGGGGGUGAUGAUUUCCUUGCUUGGAAACAUGAAACUUCAGGUAACUACACCAUUAAAUCGGCGUACCGUGCUCUUAUGAUUCGCAAUGAGCGUCAAGCUCUAGAAGAAGGGACGGAUACCGGAUCCUUGAUUGAUAAUCAGCGGUUGUGGAAUGGUUUGUGGAAGCUAAAUGUGAUGCCAAAAGUGAAGGUGUUCUUCUGGAGGGUGCUAAGGGGAAUUCUGCCAGAUGAGUGUACCCUUAAGCAUCGACAUUUGAGACAGAUAGGGCUUUGCAAAAUCUGCAUGGCGAUGGAUGAGGACAUGGAGCAUGCUCUAUUAAUAUGCUCACACGCACGCCAGUUCUGGGAUGAAGAGCAACAACUUUUUGACUUCCAUAUGCCGCGACUACACCCAAAUACUUGGGCGAGAGACGUAAUCUAUGAUGACAGAUUCACGAGUAGAGACCGAGCCAUCAUAGUUUGA
rnacentral:rRNA from 1 species